ACUGUAACCCUCCCAAAGCCUUAACACCUUUCCAUCCACGCAUGUGGAUGUCCUGGGUUCAACCACAGCUGAACUGCUUUCUCUCUGCUGCUUCUCCCAUCAGGGCCAGCAACGUGCAAGGCAGCCUGCACACCUCAACAGUCCUUCUGCUGGUCCUUACACCUACAACCAGCUUGAAAAGUUACUCAGCAGUGAAAAUCAAGACACCCUGGCUCAGAGAGGUGUUAUUGCAACGUGAUGGGCCUGCAGCAGGCAUUUCCCAAAUGCU
ensembl:lncRNA